rnacentral:rRNA from 1 species
GCCUCAGUAACGGCGAGUGAAGCGGCAACAGCUCAAAUUUGAAAUCUGACCCCUUCGGGGCCCGAGUUGUAAUUUGUAGAGGAUGUUUCGGGUGCGGCGCCGGUCUAAGUUCCUUGGAACAGGACGUCAUAGAGGGUGAGAAUCCCGUAUGCGACCGGCGAUCAACCCCAUGUGAAACCCCUUCGACGAGUCGAGUUGUUUGGGAAUGCAGCUCAAAAUGGGUGGUAAAUUUCAUCUAAAGCUAAAUACUGGCCAGAGACCGAUAGCGCACAAGUAGAGUGAUCGAAAGAUGAAAAGCACUUUGGAAAGAGAGUCAAACAGUACGUGAAAUUGUUGAAAGGGAAGCGCUUGCAACCAGACCUGCCCCUGGGCGAUCAGCCGUUAUUCUUAGCGGUGCACUCGUCCUUGUUCAGGCCAGCAUCGGUUCGGGCGGCCGGAUAAAGGCCCCGGGAAUGUAGCUCCCUUCGGGGAGUCUUAUAGCCCGGGGUGCAAUGCGGCCAGCCCGGACCGAGGACCGCGCU